rnacentral:tRNA from 1 species
CGCGGGGUGGAGCAGUGGUAGCUCGUUGGGCUCAUAACCCAAAGGUCGUAGGUUCGAAUCUUACCCCCGCAA